rnacentral:misc_RNA from 1 species
UCCGGUUUGUCACCGGCAGUCUCAUUAGAGUGCCCAACUGAAUGUAGCAACUAAUGACAAGGGUUGCGCUCGUUGCGGGACUUAACCCAACAUCUCACGACACGAGCUGACGACAGCCAUGCAGCACCUGUGAACCGGCUCUUGCGAGCGACACCAUUUCUGGUAGUCUUCCAGUCCAUGUCAAACCCAGGUAAGGUUCUGCGCGUUGCAUCGAAUUGAACCACAUGCUCCACCGCUUGUGCGGGCCCCCGUCAAUUUCUUUGAGUUUUAAUCUUGCGACCGUACUCCCCAGGCGGGAUGCUUAAUGCGUUAGCUGCGCCACUGAAGGGUAAACCCCCCAACGGCUAGCAUCCAUCGUUUACGGCGUGGACUAC